GGGAUCCGAUUUUAGCAUGGAAUAAUAAAAUAGGACUUCGGUUCUAUUUUGUUGGUUUCUAUAACUGAAGUAAUGAUUGAUAGGGAUAGUUGGGGGUGCUAGUAUUGGCCGGUCAGAGGUGAAAUUCUUGGAUUCGGUCAAGACUAACUUAUGCGAAAGCAUUCACCAAGGAUGUCUUCUUUAAUCAAGAACGAAAGUUGGGGGAUCGAAGACGAUCAGAUACCGUCGUAGUCUCAACUAUAAACUAUGCCAACUAGGGAUGGGUGAAUGUUGCUUUUUCGACUUCAUCCGCACCUUAUGAGAAAUCAAAGUCUUUGGGUUCCGGGGGGAGUAUGGUCGCAAGGCUGAAACUUAAAGGAAUUGACGGAAGGGCACCACCAGGAGUGGAGCCUGCGGCUUAAUUUGACUCAACACGGGGAAACUCACCAGGUCCAGAAAUCUAGA
rnacentral:rRNA from 1 species